CACGCGGCUCAACCGCAGCAGCUCUUGACCCUGUCUGCCUCACUGCCAGGGCUGAGAACUGAACAAGAUGGAAGGUUCCAGCAAAGAGGAGGGAGAGGAGGAGGAGGAGAGCACAUUUACCACCAUUUCCCUAGCAGAUGACACAGACCAUUCAUCGGGGGUUUCUGGUCCCAGGCGCUGUUCGGCGGCCAGGAUGAUGAACGCGGACAUGGACGCAGUUGAUGCUGAAAAUCAGGUGGAACUGGAGGAAAAAACACGACUUAUUAAUCAAGUGUUGGAACUCCAACACACCCUUGAAGAUCUCUCAGCAAGAGUAGAUGCAGUUAAGGAAGAAAAUCUGAAGCUAAAAUCAGAGAACCAAGUUCUUGGACAAUAUAUAGAAAACCUCAUGUCUGCUUCUAGUGUUUUCCAAACAACUGACACGAAAAGCAAAAGAAAGUAAGGGAUUGAGUUCCCUUCUCGUUUAUGGAAUUGCUGCUUCUCUCUCUCUCUCUCUCUCCCUCCCUCCCUUUCCCUCUCUUCUUCCCUUCCCGCUCCCUCCUCCUCUUCUCCCUUUAAAACUUGGGUAGAUUCCAAAAGUUACAGUACCUUUGUUUGUGGCUUCCUUGAAUAUUUAUGAAGAUAAUGUCAAAUCUAGGCAAAAUUAACUACUUAACCGGAGACUUCAUGAGUCUGUGUAUUAUGUUAGUCUAAGAAAAUGUGCAGAUGUAUUGUAGAGACUUUAUAAUUAGAAUUGCAUAUAUUUAUGAAACUUGAAAAUGAAUGUUUUAUUGAAUUUGCUUUGAUAUAUAGGCUUAGCAAUGUCUUUUUAUUACACGCUUACUUAGUAAGAUAUACAAGCAAAUAACCAUGUUGUGAAAAUGUGACCAAAAUCAUGUACUGAAUGCACAGCUUUAUGUCUGUACCCACCCGCCAUUGUGUGCCUCUCCUCCAUCUUCACCCCCGCUACUCCCCUCCUCCUAAGAUGGGUUCCACAUUUGUAAAAGUACUUGGGAAUAGUAAUCACCCUGACAGUCACCUGCUCCGUAACUCCUGAAGUUAACCAAACCCUUGCCUAAAGAUUCUCAAUUGUGCUUUCUAGUAACAGAACAGGACUGCCGGUUUCUCUUUAACCAGUUAAAAACAGAUGGGGGCUACUAAGGGGAUUUUAAUUUGAAACUAAAUUCUCAAGUUGAGAUUUGUUUAAAAAAUUGUUUUUGCACUAAAUAAGCCACUUGGUAUCUGAAAAGAUAGGAAUUUUGGUUAUGUAUCUAUUAGAAGUAGAAAAUCUUGGAGGAAUAGAAAUGGUAGAAAAUAACAUGAUAAAAGUAGCAACCCACUCCAGAUAUUUUCACUCCAGACUCGUAUUAUCGCUGGCACAGAGCAGACCUUCUGGGGAAUGAAUGAAUGAAAAAAAUAUAUAUAUAUAUAAAUAUAUAUGAAAAUGGAUGACGUUUGACUGAUCUUACAGAAGCCACAUGCUAUAUACCAGCUCUAGGGUUUGGUUGCAAGGUUUAUUCGUUGUACCCAGUCAAUUGUUACCAAAUUCCUUGAAGAGUGUAUUAGUAUUAGAAUCAUGAACGAGAGAGUUUUAUAUGUAUAAUUGGUAAACUCAGUAUUUUUAUCUCACCCUUUCUGUAAAGUCCACUAAUUGGUUUGUAGACUUUUAGUCAUUCUUUUAACAAUUUUUAAAAAUUCAGUUCAUAGAUUCCAUUUGGUAAAGGAAUCAAUAUCAGAGGUAAUAUUGAUAUUAUACUAGGAAAGGAAAUCCACUAAUAGAGCUUGUGGUUAUUAGAUUUGAGCUACUUUAAUCAUGGGAUAAUCUUCUGUGUUAGUGUAAGAUUUGAUGAAUGACUUUAACUAUAUGAAGAUGUACUAGUCAUACUGCAAACAUUUUGCAUCCCUUUUGUGACUUAAUUUUACAAAUAUUUAAAAUUGUGUCGCAUUUCUGCUUUGCUGUUUAAUAAAAAGUUGUUUCAGAGAUUGUGUGCGUGUGUGCGUUAUGUAGUUGCCUAAGUAAAUGGGGCGUGCAAGGGCACGGGCGUAUCAGGGUGGUUCAGUGUUACAGAAGGGCCAUACCU